rnacentral:misc_RNA from 1 species
GGGAAGUGAUACUUGUACCCGGUGCAAUGUAGAAUGAUGUCAGCUAGGACAACUCUCCCAUUUUGGAAGACCACAGAACCAUCAUCACGGACACAUUCUAUCUCAGAAUGAAGCCGCAUGUUGUCAUAUCCAGGUUGUUCUUGAUAUGUUUCAUCUGCAACAGAUCUUGAGGCGACAUGGACCUCUUUGGCAAAGUGAGCAAUUUCCCUGGAUAUAUCAACAGCACUUG